AGCUGUUAUAAAAACAAAGAAGGUAAAGCAACCCUACAGCAGAGUCAAACAUGGCGAGUGUUACUGUGACAUCCUGUUGGAAGAGUCUUCUGCUGGUGGCACUUAUGGGUGUACCAGGUUUGGGGAUCACCGUGGAGAUUUCUUGGACUGGCAGGGUGACAGCUGGUUCCCCCACUACUUUCACAUGCUCAUCUAGUUGUUUUCCAAACUGCAUCUACACCUGGUCCUUUAAUGGCAGCACAGUCAAUGGGAGCACGUUAACUUGGACACCAGAUGGACUGGAUGAUACAGUGAAACUGCAAUGCACUGUCUUAGAUCUACAAACAGGAGAGUACUUAAGUACUGACGCCACUGUAGAAAUUAUAAAUCAAGUGUCUGUACAGGUCAGUCCGCUGAACACUGUCCCAUCUCUCAACCAGUCACUAAAUCUCAUCUGCCAUGAUGCCAGAUUUGGUGAUCCACAAGGUCUAUCAGACCUGGUCUGGUAUAAAGAUGGACAAAAGGUGACCCUGCGUGAAAAUAUGUGGCUUCAGCAAAACAACCUCACACUUCACUUUGACUCACUGCUGCCUUCUGAUGCUGGUUUCUACCAGUGUCAAAUUUAUCUGCCUACAUCACAGACAAGAGUUGUCAGCCUGGGCUAUCUGUGUUGGCUCAGCUAUGAUCAGUGGAACGUCAGCAUUAGUGGACCUGACACUGUGUUUCCUGGUCAGUUAAGUGAGUUCACCUGCCUGACCAGCUGCACCUUAAAUGUGGAAUGCACCGUCACGUGGAAGUUCAGGGGAGGUUUCCCUGUUGGAACCUACCUUUCCAUCAAUAAAAAUGUGGUCAAGUGGACUCCUUCACUACCUGGGACUUUUCAGAACUUCACCUGCGUUGCAGAGAAUAAAGCUGCUGGACGUUCUGCUGAGGCCACCAAGAUGGUAGAAGUUAAAGGGCCCCACAGGGCCCCACAGGGAACGAUUCUGGCUCCGUUCCUCUUCACCAUCUACACUGCAGACUUCUCCCACAACUCCACCCAGUGCUUCCUGCAGAAGUUCUCUGAUGACUCUGCAAUAGUCGGCCUCAUCACUGAUGGGGACGACAAGGAGUACAGAGGACUGACCCAAGACUUUGUGGACUGGUGCCAGCUGAACUACCUCCAGAUCAACACUAAUAAAACCAAGGAGCUGGUGGUAGACUUCCGCAGGCACAAACAUCCUCCAAUGCAACCACUAAACAUCCAAGGUAUGGAGAUUGAGGCUGUGGACAGCUACAGGUACCUUGGUGUUCAUCUGAACACCAAACUGGACUGGACUCAUAUUUCAGACGCCCUCUACAGGAAAGGGCAGAGCAGGCUGUACCUGCUGCAGAGACUCACUCCUGAAGACCUAUGACUCUGUGGUGGCCUCAGCCAUCGUUUAUGGUGUGGUCUGCUGAGGUGGCAAGAUCUCUGCCGGGGAUAGGAAGAAACUGAACAGGUUGAUCCGCAGGGCCAGCUCUGUUCUAGGAUGCCCUCUGGACCCAGUGGAGGUGCUGAGUGACAGGAGAAUGGUGGCUAAGCUGUCAUCCCUGUUGGACAACAUCUCCC
ensembl:lncRNA